rnacentral:rRNA from 1 species
UACGUAGGGACCAAGCGUUUUCCGGAAUCAUUGGGCGUAAAGGGCGCGUAGGUGGCGCCGUAAGUCGGGUGUGAAAUUUCGGAGCUUAACUCCGAAACUGCAUUCGAUACUGCGGUGCUUGAGGACUGGAGAGGAGACUGGAAUUCAUGGUGUAGCAGUGAAUGCGUAGAGAUCAUGAGGAAGACCAGUGGCGAAGGCGGGUCUCUGGACAGUUCCUGACACUGAGGCACGAAGGCCAGGGGAGCAAACGGG